GCACAGGAGGGGUGGCCAGGCGACCCCUGCAGCGCCCUGGGUGCACUGUGUCACUAGGCAUCUGAAGAGCCGCUCAGCUGUGUCCAGCCGGGCGUCGCCCCCUCCUCGGGGACUCCACCUCCUGCAGGCACAGUGGGCCACGCCUGCGUUUCCUCCUGGAAAAGCCUCCGCUCCUACUUCGCCCUCCAUUUCUGUGACUUGGGAGCGUCGGCCAGGCGUCCUUUGGAAAUGUCUGGGGAGCUGUCCCCUGCAGAAAUGGACACUGCCCCCGAAGCCUUGGAAUGUCAUGACUGCCCACGGGAGUGAGGCUUCUUCCACCGCCCUGCCACUCAGAGACACCCAGGAGCCCAGCUGGGGAAGGGUGCACUCCACAGUUAGCCUGUCCGGCUCCAGGUCACAAGGGCCAGGUUCUUCCCGUCUCCAGAGAGCCCUGAAAUGCCUGCCUGAAGAGCUGGGAUCUGGGGGGAGGAGCAGGGGGCCCCUCCUUCCUGACACCCGGGCCCUGAUGUUCCAGAUGUUCGGGCCUGGGCUGGUCACCUAGAGUCCUCAACCUGGUGUCCUCGAAGAGUGGCCAGGCUUUGGAACCAGCAUCUCUACAGCCCUGAACUCCCAGCGAUCCUCCUGCCUCAGGCUCCGGAGUGCAGGGAUCACAGGAGUCUGGGCCUGGUGUGGCUGGGCCCUCUCAGAGGCGGCACCAAGGUUGUCAGGGCUGAGAUGUCAUCUGAAGCUUGGUGGAGGAGACCCACAUCUUACCUUGUGAUCUUGCUGGGCAAUUCAGAACUGUUG